rnacentral:sRNA from 1 species
GCCAGGUAUCGUGGUGCACACCUGUAAUCCCAGCUACUCAGGAGGCUGACACAAGAGGAUCACAAAUUUGAGGCCAACCUCAGCAACUUAGCAAGAUCUUGUCUCAA